rnacentral:snRNA from 1 species
UAAUCCUCCUUGACUAACAAAAACUUGAAACCCUAGAAUUGCACAAUUCUGGUAAAUAAGAUUUUUCUCAUUUGAGUUAGCAUGGCCUCUGUGCAAGGAUGACACACAAAUUCGUGAAGCGUUCCAUAUUUUU